GACGAACGCUGGCGGCGUGCCUAAUACAUGCAAGUAGGACGCACAGUCUAUACCGUAGCUUGCUACACCAUAGGCUGUGAGUUGCGAACGGGUGAGUAACGCGUAGGUAACCUGCCUAUUAGAGGGGGAUAACUAUUGGAAACGAUAGCUAAUACCGCAUAACAGUAUGUAACACAUGUUAGAUGCUUGAAAGAUGCAAUUGCAUCGCUAGUAGAUGGACCUGCGUUGUAUUAGCUAGUAGGUAGGGUAAUGGCCUACCUAGGCGACGAUACAUAGCCGACCUGAGAGGGUGAUCGGCCAAACUGGGACUGAGACACGGCCCAGACUCCUACGGGAGGCAGCAGUAGGGAAUCUUCGGCAAUGGGGGGAACCCUGACCGAGCAACGCCGCGUGAGUGAAGAAGGUUUUCGGAUCGUAAAGCUCUGUUGUUAAGGAAGAACGAGUGUGAGAAUGGAAAGUUCAUACUGUGACGGUACUUAACCAGAAAGGGACGGCUAACUACGUG
rnacentral:rRNA from 1 species